GUGAAAUAUUGAUACUGUUGGACGUAUUUAUGUUUGAUAACGUUAAAGAUAUUCGUUAUAUCAUUCUCUGCAUUAAACGUUAAAGGGAAAUGAAAUUUGUGAUGUUGAGAUAAUUAAUUCGUUUAAUAGGUUCAUUGACAUUGUGUCAAAAUGGCCUGGGUCAACACACAUGACACCUCUGUCUUUGACAGCUUUGGUUUGAACUUUGAAGACCUUUCCUGGAAGAAAACCACCUGGGAUACCUACUUGGCGACUCCGACUAUUCGUUAAAAAAAAUAUGUAUAAACGCCCUUGCUUAGGCCAACAACAAAUGCAGUGGUGAGGUACAACCAUGCCCAGUCAAGUUGUUGGAUUGUGGUUGAGAGCGCUUUUGGACUGCUGAUAGUAGAUUAAGGUGUCUACAUAAAACUGGAGGAUGUUUAUUCAUGAGACUCGAUGAGUGCUGUCAAGCAGUAGAUGCAUGAAUGCGCCUACACAACUUAUGCAUAGAUCAGCAGGUACCACUGCCUGAACAACUUAUUGAGGCACAGGAAGUGGAUUAUGUUGUGCACGGUGCCCCACAAUAGGAUAAAAUGCAGCACUUAUUGACAUGAUUAACUUAUUUAUGUAGGUGUUGUGUCAUGCUCACUUAUGCAUGAAGUGCUAUAGGUCAGCCAUUGUGGUCUGUCUAUGCCCGGCCUCAUGCAUUAUCCACAUUUAAUGCUAUGUUGAUGAAAGUUAGUCAUAAUGUAUUUGUUAAUAAUAUCUAGGCUAUCCUCAAGUGUGGUCAAAAUCUUUGUAAGAGUGUUAAUAUUGACAAGUUCUAUGUCAUUAUUUUUUGUUGAUUUUUAGCUCGACUAUUAUAUAUGAAAUAUAUAUAGUGGAGCUAUCCUACUCACCCCGGCGUCUGCAUUAGCGUUGGAAUGUUAAAGUUUGCGUACCACCUCAAAUAUUUCCUAUGUCCCUUGACAUAUUGCUUUUAUAUUUUGCUUACUUCUUAACCAACAUGACCCCAACCUAUAAACAAGAGCAGACAACUGUAUCAAGCAUUUUGUAAGAAUUAUGGCCCUUGUUUUACUUAAAAUAUGCAUAUUAUUGAUAAAUCUAUGCUAAGUUUGCGUACCACCUCAAGUAUUUUCAAUGUCCCUUGACAUAUUGCUUUCAUAUUUUGCAUACUUCUUUACCAACAUGACCCCAAUCUAUAAACAAGAGCAGACAACUGUAACAAGCAUUUUGUAAGAAUUAUGGCCCUCUUUCCACUUAGAAUAUGCAUAUUAUUGAUAAAUCUAUGUUAAAGUUUGCGUACCACCUCAAAUAUUUUCUAUGUACCUUGUAAUAUUGCGUUUAUAUUUUGCAUACUUCUUUACCAACAUGACCCCAACAACAUAACAAGAGCAGACAACUGUAUCAAGCAUUUUGUAAUAAUUAUGUUCCCUUUUUAUACUUAGAAUUUUUUUUUUGAAGUUUUGUGUUUAGGUUCACUUUAUUCCUAAAGUCUUUAUUCCUAAAGUAUCAAAGCUAUUGCUUUUAUACGUGCAGCAAUUACUAACUAUCAAAAGGGGACUUUGCAAGCAAAGUUAUUUGACUCUGACUGGCAUUUAGACAGAUUUAUGGCCCCUUUUAUACUUAGAUAAUUUAACAUUUGGUGAAGUUUUGUGUUUUGGUCCAUUUUACCCGUAAAGUAUCAUAGCUAUUGCUUUCAGACUUGGAAAACUUACCUUUACACUUACCUGACAUACCACAAUGAACUCCACCCAA